AUUGAACGCUGGCGGCAGGCUUAACACAUGCAAGUCGAGCGGGGGAAGGUAGCUUGCUACCGGACCUAGCGGCGGACGGGUGAGUAAUGCUUAGGAAUCUGCCUAUUAGUGGGGGACAACAUCUCGAAAGGGAUGCUAAUACCGCAUACGUCCUACGGGAGAAAGCAGGGGAUCUUCGGACCUUGCGCUAAUAGAUGAGCCUAAGUCGGAUUAGCUAGUUGGUGGGGUAAAGGCCUACCAAGGCGACGAUCUGUAGCGGGUCUGAGAGGAUGAUCCGGCACACUGGGACUGAGACACGGCCCAGGCUCCUACGGGAGGCAGCAGUGGUGAAUAUUGGACAAAGGGGGGAACCCUGAUCCAGCUAUGCCGCGUGUGUGAAGAAGGCCUUAUGGUUGUAAAGCACUUUAAGCGAGGAGGAGGCUACUCUAGUUAAUACCUAGGGUUAGUGGACGUUACUCGCAGAAUAAGCACCGGCUAACUCUGUGCCAGCCGCCGCCGUAA
rnacentral:rRNA from 1 species